rnacentral:rRNA from 1 species
UUCGUAGUGACUGCGGAGGAUCAUU